GAUCCAGUAAAUCACAAAGUCUGUAUUGUGUUUUUAGCAAACGGCUAGUGAUGUCAUGGAUGAGGUAAAGGGAUGGUGAGCAAGUCAACAGACCUGCUUAUGGAGACUAUUUUUGGAAUCAGGGAAUCCGACUGCCUGCUGAGUGCCUUGCUGAAAAGCACCUUAACAGCAGUGACAGUAAACAGACAGCAUCAUCAAGUCACUUUCCCCAUCUGCACUUUCACUGUCGGUUGAGGAAUCCAAACCAACCCCUCUGAACCAACAUCUACAAAUGAGGUGCGAGAGGAGAAACUUUCAGGUAUGCAGCAAGUAAUUGUUGCAUGCAUGUUGCUUCUGCA